rnacentral:rRNA from 1 species
UACAGAGGUCCCGAGCGUUGUUCGGAUUCACUGGGCGUAAAGGGUGCGUAGGUGGUGACGUAAGUCGGAUGUGAAAUCUCGGAGCUCAACUCCGAAACGGCAUUGGAAACUGCGUUGCUAGAGGGUUGGAGGGGGGACUGGAAUGCUUGGUGUAGCAGUGAAAUGCGUAGAUAUCAAGCGGAACACCAGUGGCGAAGGCGGAUCUCUGGACAGUUCCUGACGCUGAGGCGCGAAGGCCAGGGGAGCAAACGGG